rnacentral:rRNA from 1 species
CCUACGUGAGGCAGCAGUGAGGAAUAUUGGUCAAUGGACGAGAGUCUGAACCAGCCAAGUAGCGUGAAGGAUGACUGCCCUAUGGGUUGUAAACUUCUUUUAUAAAGGAAUAAAACGAGGCACGUGUGCCUUUUUGCAUGUACUUUAUGAAUAAGGAUCGGCUAACUCCGUGCAAGCAGCCGCGGUAAUACGGAGGAUCCGAGCGUUAUCCGGAUUUAUUGGGUUUAAAGGGAGCGUAGAUGGGUUGUUAAGUCAGUUGUGAAAGUUUGCGGCUCAACCGUAAAAUUGCAAUUGAAACUGGCAGUCUUGAGUACAGUAGAGGUGGGCGGAAUUCGUGGUGUAGCGGUGAAAUGCUUAGAUAUCACGAAGAACUCCGAUUGCGAAGGCAGUUCACUGGACUGCAACUGACGCUGAGGCACGAAAGCGUGGGGAUCGAACAGGAUUAGAUACCCCGGUAGUC